GUGGGACAGGCAACACGUCUGAGACAGACAACACGUAAUGCCCGAUCAGACUGCAAGACAAAUCUGCUCUAUGCCAAACUACUGCAAUAAAAUCUUGUAUUCCGAUACCACCGCAUCACAUUUUUUUAUGAUCGUUGGGCUUUAUCUUGUCAACUCAAAUGCGACCGGAUACACUCGUUACCGUGGCGACGACAACACGAGUGGAUCGCGCUGACUGUAUUAUAAGGACAAAAUGGGGAAAAACGUGUUGGUGGUCACCGUUGCUCAGGACAGGAGAGGACAUUCGUUUAAGGCUUGCUUGAGGGGUUUGUGUGAGGCCUCUCCCAUCUGACUUUUGGCGAGAGAAGCAGGAUAAAUCCUAGACUGGUCGCCUGCCAGUCGCAGGGCCAGAGCCUGGAUUGGAAUCCACAACCUCAGAACUAUGCUACGUGCUAAACACUAGCCUCCACAAAAUGACCAGUUCAUGUUUUUUUGUGAAGUAGUGCGGCAUUUUGACCGCCAGAUGGAGGCAGAGUAUUAAUUGUCAAGUUUAUAAAGCGCCCGCGUGGGAUAAUGAAUUCUGUUGGACAAUUUUCCUAUAGUACUACAGAGACUUUUGGUCUUUUCAUGAAUAAUAGAAGUGUUUCAGCAGGGCGCGAUUUAGACGUCACAACAAUGGUGUCUUUCAGUCAUGAAGCUUUUCAUUGCACAACUGCUGUAGUGUUGGAAUUGUUGGUGUUGGACACGUGAUUCACCCCCCCCCCCUCCCCCCACACACACAAUUUUAAAGCGUUUCCAUGUGUUUUAAUAACAUGCUUUUGUCAAAAUUUCCCAAGCAUCGCACUUCACACCCUCUUUUGUUAAUCUGUUUGAGGGGGCGGUCCUGUCUCAGGCAAAUGAGCCACUGUUAACCCCGCCUCCUUUACUGCAAAGCCUUAUUUAUUUAAGCA